rnacentral:rRNA from 1 species
AUGAACGCUGGCGGCGUGCCUAAUACAUGCAAGUCGAGCGAACGGACGAGAAGCUUGCUUCUCUGAUGUUAGCGGCGGACGGGUGAGUAACACGUGGAUAACCUACCUAUAAGACUGGGAUAACUUCGGGAAACCGGAGCUAAUACCGGAUGAUAUUUUGAACCGCAUGGUUCAAAAGUGAAAGACGGUCUUGCUGUCACUUAUAGAUGGAUCCGCGCUGCAUUAGCUAGUUGGUAAGGUAACGGCUUACCAAGGCAACGAUGCAUAGCCGACCUGAGAGGGUGAUCGGCCACACUGGAACUGAGACACGGUCCAGACUCCUACGGGAGGCAGCAGUAGGGAAUCUUCCGCAAUGGGCGAAAGCCUGACGGAGCAACGCCGCGUGAGUGAUGAAGGUCUUCGGAUCGUAAAACUCUGUUAUUAGGGAAGAACAUAUGUGUAAGUAACUGUGCACAUCUUGACGGCACCUAAUCAGAAAGCCACGGCUAACUACGUG